rnacentral:rRNA from 1 species
GACGAACGCUGGCGGCGUGCUUAACACAUGCAAGUCGAACGGAAAGGCCCUGCUUGCAGGGUACUCGAGUGGCGAACGGGUGAGUAACACGUGGGUGAUCUGCCCUGCACUUCGGGAUAAGCCUGGGAAACUGGGUCUAAUACCGGAUAGGAGCCAUUUUUAGUGUGAUGGUUGGAAAGUUUUUUCGGUGUAGGAUGAGCUCGCGGCCUAUCAGCUUGUUGGUGGGGUAAUGGCCUACCAAGGCGGCGACGGGUAGCCGGCCUGAGAGGGUGGACGGCCACAUUGGGACUGAGAUACGGCCCAGACUCCUACGGGAGGCAGAAGUGGGGAAUAUUGCACAAUGGGCGCAAGCCUGAUGCAGCGACGCCGCGGGGGGGAUGACGGCCUUCGGGUUGGAAACUCCUUUCGCUAGGGACGAAGCUUUUUGUGACGGUACCUAGAUAAGAAGCACCGGCUAACUACGUG